rfam:Picoides pubescens contig60549, whole genome shotgun sequence.
CUUGCUUCUCGGCCUUUUGGCUAAGAUUAAGUGUAGUAUCUGUUCUUAUCAGUUUAAUAUUUGAUACAGCCUUGAUCAGAGGACUUUAUAUUAAAUGGAUUUUUGGGCCUGGAAGUUGGAUCCGGAGUUUGCUCCCUCUGCUCCAAUAUUUUUUCCUACAACUACCUGAAGGGAAGUUGUAGCCAG